UGGCGGCCAUAGCGGCGACUGGAGGCGGAACGAGGAGGGCGACUUGGCGGCCCCACUGUUCGUGCUGCUGGCGCUUGUGCUGCCCGGCGUCUGCGGAGACUCCUCGACCGACGGUGGAGGACUAAUGUGCACACACCGUCGUUCCUGUCGUGGUGGGCGAUGCUGCUCUGCUGUUUCAUUCUGGUCAUUGCCCGUCAGCCUGAAGAGCGCUCUGCAGUGUCCUCGCGAGUUUGGACAAUUUCUGCAGAUUGGCUUCAAGUUCCCUGGCCUCUUAUCUGCUGACUCCAGCUGCUGUUAAAAGCAUCUAGUGAAUUGUUUAAUUCAAAUAUUGUACUUUUAAAUUCCAGAAUUUCUCUUUGAUUCUUUAUUUCUUUCCUUAAUUUUUCAUUUCUCUGCUAAGAUCCUCAUUUCUUUCACCCCGUAUAUCCACUGUUUUCUUUCAGUUCUGGAACAUAUUUAAGUAGGUUAGGAUUGGCCUUCAGACCAGCAAGGAGCAGUGGCUUUGAGAAUCAGCAGGGGACGCCCAUAGUGAUGAGAACACGAAGGGCAGGCCAGGAAUUGGGACAACAGUCUCUGGGGAGAAACUUUCCCCUUCACACGUGUCUUCCCAUCUGUGCACAGUGGCAGCAAAGAGCUUGAUUAAAGCCAGUGACACUAGAGAUCCUGCCACGAGCCUUCCCUUCCCGGUCCCCGGCAGGCUGCAGGGCAGGGGACGACCAAGUUCCCUGUUCCGUCACAAAACUUCAGGGAAUCACUUCACAAGUCCACGGCCAGUCCCCCGUUCCCUGUGUCAUGAACAGCUCUGCUGAGACAAACCUGUGGUUCCCAGGAAAUGGUGGAUGGUGAUUUCAGAUACUGUUUCCACUGGUGACCUGGAUGAUUUACUUAAUAUCUGAAAAACCACUUUAGCACUUAAAGUGCUAUGUAUGUUCCCUUGAAGCACCAGGAUCUUUUAUUUUUCUGACCAGUAAGGGGAUUGCCACCUUUGGCUCAGUGCCAUCUACACCAUGCUCAGCCAGUGAGUGCACCAACCAUCCCUAUACGGGAUCCAAACCCACGGCCUUGGCACCAUCAGCACCGCACUCUCCCGAGUGAGCCACGGGGCCAGCCCAAGCACCAGGAUCGUAAUGUCAGGAGGGCAUGCUGAUGGGCAAUAAGGAAUGAAUCGUACACUUGUUCAAGUUCACAUGUCCAUUUACACAAAAAUAUUGAGACCAAUAUCCAGUUCUGUUUAAAAGUUACAUGUUUUCUACUGUGUAAAUGUGAUCACACAGGCCACCCAACACACACACAAACAGCAUGUAAAUAUGCAAUACACAUCAGUUCCUGCUACCUUUCUUAUGGCUUUUCUGUAAGUUAGAAAACUAUAUGAAAUUCUAGUAAUUUUUUCUAAAAAGUGAAUACAAAUUAAAAACCUAAAAGACAGAUAUUUUCACCUUAUUUUCUUUAAAAAGUGAAAGAAAAUGUUCAAGCUUCACAGAUUGACCUACUCACAGUUAAAUAGCCACACUACAAAUCCCAGAUGGGGGCACGGCCAUCCUGGCCCAGAGGCACCACUCAGUGAUGUGCGCGAGGGCUCCUGGCUCCUCAGUGUCACAGGUGAGGGCUCCUGACUCAGCAUCGCAGGUGAAGGUUCCUGUCUCCUCAGUGUCAUAGGUGAGGGCUCCUGGCUCAGCAUCGCAGGUGAUGGCUCUUGAGUACCUGCUCCUCCUCCAGCAACUCCUCUUUUCUGGUGCACAGGCUGUGGUUCACACACACUGGCCCCAUUGGCUGGCUCCAUCCCCGCCAGGGAGAGAUCACAGUCCUUGAGUGACCACUGCCUGGCAUUGCAGCACUGAGAGUUCAGUGACAGCUGGUGACUAGACAGGAUGACCUGCUUCCCUGUGGCAUGGGUGCCCAGGAGGCCUGGCCAUGCCUGCAUGGCUGUUCGUCACCCCAGGCUCCUGCCUGAAGCCUCAAUGAUCUCCCCAUGAAGUGCAGAGAAACCAUACAUUUGGCCUUUGCUGUCCAGACUCUUCACACUCAGGUGCUUCCAUCUCUAGCUCAGGGGCUUCCAGAGGAACCCACAAGAUCCUGGGAGUAGCUGUGCCCCCUGCUGGGCGAGGGGUGCUGGCCAACUGCUGGGGGCUCUGCCAGGUCUUCACACCCAGCACGUCCAGCUGCCUCUGUCCGUUCCCCAUGCAGACCCUGCCUCCUGUUUCCCCCCAUAAAAUCUGUCCAAAUUGAACCCAGCAGACUCCCCUCUCUCUCUGUCUAUAUCUGCAUCAUACCUAGAUCAUGUCUGUGUAUGGAUGUCUCUAGAGUAUUUUCAUUUUAUGUCUUUGUUUAAAUCUAAAUAUAUAAAUAUUUUAGAUAGAAACAGAUAUAAAUUAUUUUACAUCUAUGUAAAUAUAUUGAUUAAAAUGAUUUUAUCAUCUCUUUCUGUUAAUUAAAAUUCCUGAUCAGCAGUGAUCCCUGAGUACCUCAUACGUGUCUGCACGUGUGAAUGUUUGAACACAUGGACACUGCAUGUGUGUGCCGCAGGAAUGACUGUGUUUGCAUGUCUGUACACAUGUUUCACACGUGUCCAUAGCUCCGUGGAUCUCUCCAGUUAGGCAUUUGGCCCUUCCUCACACUCUUCAUCCUAUUUCAUUUAUUUUCUGCCCCAUUACUUUACUGGUUUUUAUUUUUGAAAAGCGUUUUAAAGAUUAUCUGCUUGUUAAACUCAAUGAAUCUUCCAGCCCUUCUUUUACUUGACUGUUCUACAGCAUUCACUAGUAUUUCUGUAUUUUUUUUUCCUGAUU